AAUUUUCCAGAAGAGGCUUAUGUCAGGUAUUCUGUCAUAGGAAUGAGACGUUCAAAUGACAUGGAAAACUGCUCUGGAGAAGGUGGACCUUCACUGUGACUAGAUUAUCUUGUGGAUCAGUAGCCCUGAGUGUUGGAAGUUGAGAAAAGCUUAGAGAAGAAAGGUAGAGAAAUCUUAGAUGGCUUUAUGGGCAAUCCUGGGAGCUUGGAAAUGUGUUACAGGGUCAUGGACCUCUCAAGCAAUCCCCGAGAGAAGGAGCUGUGGAGAUGAAGUCAAAGAGGCAAUGACGAAUGCAGGAAGUUGAAGAUGCCAGGAAUGUGAAAUGCAUGCCAAGGAAAGCCACAGUCAUUGAGCAGAGGUAGCCCAGGGGAGAAGCCAUGUGUUUUAUAGCCAGCAAUGUAUGAACAGGGCUAUCCAUUCCCUUGACAGUUCAUACCAUGUUACCACAUAUGCAGGAUUCCAGACACAAAGCAGCAGGAUUACAGAAGUGUUUGUUCUGCUGGGUCUCAAUCUUAUUGUGAUCCCAUCCAGCCUAUCUAUGUCCUCAUUCUCC
rnacentral:lncRNA from 1 species